UACGAACUGUGCAAGCGUUAUUCGGAAUCACUGGGCUUACAGGGCGCGUAGGCGGCCUGUUAAGUAGGGUGUGAAAGCCCCCGGCUCAACCGGGGAAUGGCGCCCUAAACUGGCGGGCUGGAGUGAGAUAGGGGUGUGCGGAACUUCCGGUGGAGCGGUGAAAUGUGUUGAUAUCGGAAGGAACGCCGGUGGCGAAAGCGGCACACUGGAUCUCAACUGACGCUGAGGCACGAAAGCCAGGGGAGCGAACGGG
rnacentral:rRNA from 1 species